AAAACGACUCUCGGCAACGGAUAUCUCGGCUCUCGCAUCGAUGAAGAACGUAGCGAAAUGCGAUACUUGGUGUGAAUUGCAGAAUCCCGUGAACCAUCGAGUCUUUGAACGCAAGUUGCGCCCAAAACCUUCGGGUCGAGGGCACGUCUGCCUGGGUGUCACGC
rnacentral:rRNA from 19 species